rnacentral:rRNA from 1 species
GAGAUCAAAGAAGUUCGCGCGGGCGACAUCGCGGCUGCUAUCGGCCUGAAAGACGUGACUACCGGUGACACCCUGUGUGAUCCGGAAAACCCGAUCAUUCUGGAACGUAUGGAAUUCCCUGAGCCGGUAAUCUCCAUCGCGGUAGAACCGAAAACCAAAGCUGACCAGGAAAAAAUGGGUCUGGCUCUGGGCCGUCUGGCGAAAGAAGACCCGUCGUUCCGCGUAUGGACUGAUGAAGAAUCUAACCAGACCAUCAUCGCUGGUAUGGGUGAACUUCACCUAGAUAUCAUCGUUGACCGUAUGAAGCGUGAAUUCAACGUUGAAGCGAACGUGGGUAAACCUCAGGUUGCUUACCGCGAAGCGAUUCGCGCGAAAGUUACCGACAUCGAAGGUAAACACGCGAAACAGUCUGGUGGUCGCGGUCAGUAUGGUCAUGUUGUUAUCGACAUGUACCCGCUGGAGCCGGGCUCUAACCCGAAAGGUUACGAGUUCAUCAACGACAUCAAAGGUGGUGUAAUUCCUGGCGAGUACAUCCCGGCCGUUGAUAAAGGCAUCCAGGAGCAGCUGAAAUCUGGCCCGCUGGCGGGUUAUCCGGUAGUUGAUCUCGGUGUGCGUCUGCACUUCGGUUCUUACCAUGACGUUGACUCCUCUGAGCUGGCGUUUAAACUGGCUGCGUCUAUCGCCUUUAAAGAAGGCUUUAAGAAAGCAAAACCAGUUCUGCUUGAGCCGAUCAUGAAGGUUGAAGUAGAAACACCUGAAGAGAAUACCGGUGACGUUAUCGGCGACCUUAGCCGCCGUCGUGGUAUGCUCAAAGGUCAGGAAUCUGAAGUUACAGGCGUUAAGAUCCACGCUGAAGUACCGCUGUCUGAAAUGUUCGGAUAUGCAACUCAGCUGCGUUCUCUGACCAAAGGUCGCGCAUCGUACACUAUGGAAUUCCUGAAGUAUGAUGAUGCGCCGAACAACGUUGCUCAGGCCGUAAUCGAAGCCCGUGGUAAAUAAGCCGCAGGGUUAAAAACCAAAAUCCCGUGCUCUCUCCUGAAGGGGAGAGCGCUAUAGUAAGGAAUAUAGCCGUGUCUAAAGAAAAAUUUGAACGUACAAAACCGCACGUUAACGUCGGCACCAUCGGCCACGUUGACCACGGUAAAACUACCCUGACCGCUGCAAUCACCACCGUACUGGCUAAAACCUACGGCGGUGCUGCUCGUGCAUUCGACCAGAUCGAUAACGCUCCGGAAGAAAAAGCGCGUGGUAUCACCAUCAACACUUCUCACGUUGAAUACGAUACCCCGNAUUUACUCACGGAGCUGAAGUCAGCCGAAGAUACCAGCUGGCUGCAACUGUUUAUUAAAAACACAGCACUGUGCAAACACGAAAGUGGACGUAUACGGUGUGACGCCUGCCCGGUGCCGGAAGGUUAAUUGAUGGGGUCAGCGCAAGCGAAGCUCCUGAUCGAAGCCCCGGUAAACGGCGGCCGUAACUAUAACGGUCCUAAGGUAGCGAAAUUCCUUGUCGGGUAAGUUCCGACCUGCACGAAUGGCGUAAUGAUGGCCAGGCUGUCUCCACCCGAGACUCAGUGAAAUUGAACUCGCUGUGAAGAUGCAGUGUACCCGCGGCAAGACGGAAAGACCCCGUGAACCUUUACUAUAGCUUGACACUGAACAUUGAGCCUUGAUGUGUAGGAUAGGUGGGAGGCUUUGAAGUGUGGACGCCAGUCUGCAUGGAGCCGACCUUGAAAUACCACCCUUUAAUGUUUGAUGUUCUAACGUGGACCCGUGAUCCGGGUUGCGGACAGUGUCUGGUGGGUAGUUUGACUGGGGCGGUCUCCUCCUAAAGAGUAACGGAGGAGCACGAAGGUUGGCUAAUCCUGGUCGGACAUCAGGAGGUUAGUGCAAUGGCAUAAGCCAGCUUGACUGCGAGCGUGACGGCGCGAGCAGGUGCGAAAGCAGGUCAUAGUGAUCCGGUGGUUCUGAAUGGAAGGGCCAUCGCUCAACGGAUAAAAGGUACUCCGGGGAUAACAGGCUGAUACCGCCCAAGAGUUCAUAUCGACGGCGGUGUUUGGCACCUCGAUGUCGGCUCAUCACAUCCUGGGGCUGAAGUAGGUCCCAAGGGUAUGGCUGUUCGCCAUUUAAAGUGGUACGCGAGCUGGGUUUAGAACGUCGUGAGACAGUUCGGUCCCUAUCUGCCGUGGGCGCUGGAGAACUGAGGGGGGCUGCUCCUAGUACGAGAGGACCGGAGUGGACGCAUCACUGGUGUUCGGGUUGUCAUGCCAAUGGCACUGCCCGGUAGCUAAAUGCGGAAGAGAUAAGUGCUGAAAGCAUCUAAGCACGAAACUUGCCCCGAGAUGAGUUCUCCCUGAGACUUUAGGUCUCCUGAAGGAACGUUGAAGACGACGACGUUGAUAGGCCGGGUGUGUAAGCGCAGCGAUGCGUUGAGCUAACCGGUACUAAUGAACCGUGAGGCUUAACCUU